CCUACGGGUGGCAGCAGUGAGGAAUAUUGGUCAAUGGGCGCGAGCCUGAACCAGCCAAGUAGCGUGAAGGAUGACUGCCCUACGGGUUGUAAACUUCUUUUAUAAAGGAAUAAAGUGAGUCACGUGUGCCUCUUUGCAUGUACUUUAUGAAUAAGGAUCGGCUAACUCCGUGCCAGCAGCCGCGGUAAUACGGAGGAUCCGAGCGUUAUCCGGAUUUAUUGGGUUUAAAGGGUGCGCAGGCGGAGGUUCAAGUCAGCGGUCAAAUUGCGGGGCUCAACCCCGUACUGCCGUUGAAACUGCGUCCCUUGAGGGCGCGGAAAGUAUGCGGAAUGCGUGGUGUAGCGGUGAAAUGCAUAGAUAUCACGAAGAACCCCGAUUGCGAAGGCAGCAUGCCGGCGCGGAACUGACGCUGAUGCACGAAAGCGUGGGUAUCGAACAGGAUUAGAUACCCGAGUAGUC
rnacentral:rRNA from 1 species